AAUUAAUUUUGGGCACAUUGUCAAAGUGGCCUUAUUCAUAUCAGACCUCUAUUUAGCUGCGUUCUAAUUAUAUUUUUCAUACGGAACUUUUCUGUUCGGAAAUACUGGUACUCAAAGAUAAAAGAUGGCGGAUUCCGAAGCAAGCUGGGAUACGUUCUUGAACUUUCUUGAGGUCGGAGUUCAGUGCAUAAUUCACUGUAUGGCAGUUAUUUUGAAGUCAGUGUCGGGUCCAGGUGACUUCUUUACCCUUUUGGUAUUAGGCGUGUGUAUUUCAUUUCUGGAAGCAAUGACUUGGAAUGGUCACUGCUUAUUUUAUAAGCUUUUUACCUACAUUCCUAACUUGUUCACACCUGCAAGUUACUGGUUGUGGCUGAUAAACUUCGUUAAAAUGAAUGUGAUUUUAGCCAUUGAAGCAAUUGUGUUGUAUAUGAUUUCAUUUUUACACAAUCCAAACAAAAGAAGCACAAAUGGUGAUUUUAAAACAGAAAAUAAAGCUUUUAGAAAAGGAUUAGCUAGAUACGUGCUGUCUCACAUUGUCCAUGGUGUAAUUUAUUAUUUUUUUAAAAGGUAAAAGGGAUUGCCACAAAUUGACUUUAUGAAGUCAGUGAAACAUUUAAAAAAGGACAAUUUAAGAAUAUGAUAUUCUGUAUGCUAACUUUAGAAAAGGAAAGUGUGCUUAAAGUGUUUG